GCCCGCGUGGCUUAGUGGUACAGCGUCUCACUCGUAUUCUUUAUGCGUUUAUGAGAAGAUCCUCGGUUCGAUUCCGAGCGUGGGCA